AGUAUGCUUGGAAAAUGCAUCAUUCAGGAUCUCUUUCUCUGCUACAAGUGUAGAUAUAUGCUAAGCAGAUCUACAUUUCAAAAGCAAUUUGUGGCAGACAACUCGUCAUGGGGCUUGAACCCACAACCUUUUGAACCAAAGUAAGAAUGCUACCAACUGAGCCACGUUGACACUUGCAUGGCAAUGGUCAAUUUUUGAAGCCAGCUUCAGACUUGUCAGCAAUGAUUAUCAGGGAUCUAACCCCUUCAACAUCAUUUAUAACUUGUCGAUUCUUGCAGACAGAGAAGAUCAGAGAAACCAGGAAUAGAUAUGUCUAUAAUUCUGUUUUAAGAAGUAAAACAGCAAAACCCUGGUGAUCCACACACCAACGCACAUGCGUUUAUUGAACUCCGAUGAGAUAGUAUGUCGGAAUGUUAAACACUGUGGAGAACAUGGCAGCAAAAUAAUGUCCUUCAUAAAUCAAGAAAUCAAAAUAAAAUGAAGAAAUUCCUCAAGGUUUCCACAAAAAUAUAGUUACCAUUGUCAACCAAUGUGUUUAUUUAUCCUUAACAAUAAUGUUAUUGCUUAGAAUAAAGAAUUUCAUUUUAUUU